GGAGGGUGCAAGCGUUAAUCGGAAUUACUGGGCGUAAAGCGCACGCAGGCGGUCUGUCAAGUCGGAUGUGAAAUCCCCGGGCUCAACCUGGGAACUGCAUCCGAAACUGGCAGGCUAGAGUCUUGUAGAGGGGGGUAGAAUUCCAGGUGUAGCGGUGAAAUGCGUAGAGAUCUGGAGGAAUACCAGUGGCGAAGGCGGCCCCCUGGACAAAGACUGACGCUCAGGUGCGAAAGCGUGGGGAGCAAACAGGAUUAGAUACCCUGGUAGUCCACGCCGUAAACGAUGUCGACUUGGAGGUUGUGCCCUUGAGGCGUGGCUUCCGGAGCUAACGCGUUAAG
rnacentral:rRNA from 1 species